rnacentral:tRNA from 2 species
UUAGCAGCUACACUGGGAACGGUCG